rnacentral:rRNA from 1 species
UACGUAGGGGGCUAGCGUUGUCCGGAAUCAUUGGGCGUAAAGAGCGUGUAGGCGACUUGGUAAGUCCGCUGUGAAAGUCCAGGGCUUAACCCUGGAAAGCCAGUGGAAACUGUCAAGCUAGAGUCCGGAAGAGGUGAGUGGAACUCCUGGUGUAGCGGUGAAAUGCGCAGAUAUCAGGAAGAACACCAAUGGCGAAGGCAGCUCACUGGGACGGUACUGACGCUGAGGCACGAAAGCUAGGGGAGCAAACAGG